rnacentral:rRNA from 1 species
AGCUCCAUCAGUGUAUAUUAAAGUUGUUGCGGUUAAAAAGCUCGUAGUUGGAUUUCGGAGUGCGAAAGUCAAGACCCAUCAAAUUGGUGAGGUCCGACGGUCGCCUCCUAGCUUAGGGUAACAGCCCCGCUUCCUUCGCGGGUUGCGGUGUGCCGUUCCCUAUCGUUUACUUUGAUAAAAUCAGAGUGUUCAAAGCAGGCGUCACUUGCCUUGAAUGUUGCCGCAAGGGAUAAUGGAAUAUGACUUCGGUCUUAUUUUGUUGGUUUCUAGGGCUGAAGUAAUGACUAAUAGGGACAGUUGGGGGCGCUCGUAUUGAGUUGUCAGAGGUGAAAUUCUAGGAUUUACUCAAGACGAACUAGUGCGAAAGCAUUCGCCAAGGAUGUUUUCAUUAAUCAAGAAC